GCCUUAGCUAGGUGGGGUGGUGUUUGUCUAUUGUAGCCUUAGCUAGGUGGGAUGGUGUUUGUCUAUCGUAGCCUUAGCUAGGUGGAGAGGUGUUUGUCUGUUGUAGCCUUAGCUAGGUGGGGUGGUGUUUGUCUAUUGUAGCCUUAGCUAGGUGGAGAGGUGUUUGUCUAUUGUAGCCUUAGCUAGGUGGAGAGGUGUUUGUCUAUUGUAGCCUUAGCUAGGUGGGGUGGUGUUUGUCUAUUGUAGCCUUAGCUAGGUGGGGUGGUGUUUGUCUAUUGUAGCCUUAGCUAGGUGGGAUGGUGUUUGUCUAUCGUAGCCUUAGCUAGGUGGGGUGGUGUUUGUCUAUUCAACGUUUUUCCUUUUUGUAU
rnacentral:lncRNA from 1 species